CAGCAGCCCACGGUAAUACGUAGGGUGCAAGCGUUAAUCGGAAUUACUGGGCGUAAAGCGUGCGCAGGCGGUUAUAUAAGACAGAUGUGAAAUCCCCGGGCUCAACCUGGGAACUGCAUUUGUGACUGUAUAGCUAGAGUACGGCAGAGGGGGAUGGAAUUCCGCGUGUAGCAGUGAAAUGCGUAGAUAUGCGGAGGAACACCGAUGGCGAAGGCAAUCCCCUGGGCCUGUACUGACGCUCAUGCACGAAAGCGUGGGGAGCAAACAGGAUUAGAUACCCGAGUAGUCCCUGUCUCUUAUA
rnacentral:rRNA from 1 species